UCUCCAGCCUGGCAGAGGUGACACCACAAUUAGAAUGGAAUUAGAUUCAUUCCUUGCACUUUGAGUGUGUCUACAAUUUGCUUAAAUGCAGGAGAGUCAACUGCAUAAUUUGUGUUAGUGGUAGACUUCGAUCGUGCUGUCUUCUG
rnacentral:snRNA from 12 species